CUCAAAGGAAUUGACGGGGACCCGCACAAGCGGUGGAUGAUGUGGAUUAAUUCGAUGCAACGCGAAAAACCUUACCUACCCUUGACAUGUCUGGAAUCCCGAAGAGAUUUGGGAGUGCUCGCAAGAGAACCGGAACACAGGUGCUGCAUGGCUGUCGUCAGCUCGUGUCGUGAGAUGUUGGGUUAAGUCCCGCAACGAGCGCAACCCUUGCCAUUAGUUGCUACAUUCAGUUGGGCACUCUAAUGGGACUGCCGGUGACAAACCGGAGGAAGGUGGGGAUGACGUCAAGUCCUCAUGGCCCUUAUGGGUAGGGCUUCACACGUCAUACAAUGGUCGGGACAGAGGGUUGCCAAGCCGCGAGGUGGAGCCAAUCUCAGAAACCCGAUCGUAGUCCGGAUCGCAGUCUGCAACUCGACUGCGUGAAGUCGGAAUCGCUAGUAAUCGCGGAUCAGCAUGUCGCGGUGAAUACGUUCCCGGGUCUUGUACACACCGCCCGUCAC
rnacentral:rRNA from 1 species